UUUUGAGAUAAAAAAUGUAGAUGAAAUAUUUUUAUAAAACUGAGAAUAUAAAAAGAGUCUAAUCAGCAUUGAUAUAUUUUAGACUAAAUUCGUUAAAAUUUUAAAUAUGUAAUUAAUCAAUGUAAAUAUAUAACUUUUUUAGGUUUAGUAUUUUGUAGUUUCUAAAAAUACUUAUUUUUGACUAUGUCCUUACAAAAUUGAUUUAUAGUAGAAUUAAUUUUAUAAUUUAGUAAAAUAUUGUUGG
rnacentral:lncRNA from 1 species